CUCACCCAUAGCUAAUAAUCCAUCAAGACUCACAGGCUCAUAGGGCCGGAGCAGGAGACCCUAACUUCCUGGCUCCCGCACUCCCCAGGCGCACCACAUUUCAGCACGACGGACAGCGCAGCACUGGGGCGCGACUGGGGAGGCGGGGACCAAUACCACGCUGUUUCAGACCGGCUUUUUCAAAUCUCUCGGGUCUGCGCCCUCAUUUCCGUGCAUUUUCGAAACGACUCUCACAGCAACCGAAGCCACAAAAACACAUUCACAGAAAACGGGGAAGCUCCAGGGUUCGCUUACCGUCUGACAAGUCAAUCAGUCCGAGGCAAUUUCUCCAAAGGUUUAACCAGUCCCUAAUCUUCCCUAAUCUUCUGCUAGCUGAGUGUAACCAUCACUGGCAACAUCUCAUGGCAUAUUCUCUCAGCAGCUCAGAGAAAACGUGUGUCAGUGUAGACCAUUUCAAAGACAUACAGAAAGAGCUCCAUUGCUUUAGAUCGCAGAUAGAUGGAGAGAUGAAAGAUACUUUUUCAAAGGGACAACAAUUUGUCUUUACUUCCCAGUGAAAAACCCAACAAGCUGGUCUGGAACAUAUGUGGUCCCUGCUUUGACACAGUGAUAUGUCCCUGGAAACUGUACCACCAGGAAAGCUAUGGAAAUCAGCAAGGCAGUUGCUAAACCUUCGUCAGCUUGAAAUCAGCCAUGGUAGGGUGUUGACACCACAGAAAUGCUACACAUCAGUGUUUCUUCACCCUCCCCACUGUCUCUGAAUUACCAGGAUGCCACGCUACCAUUCCAGAUCCCAUCUGCCCAGAAGAAAACCUGAGAAAUUCACCUGCCCAGAGGUUUUUCUGACUUACUGUGUUUCCUCUCCUCUGGGGCCCUAGCAAGUGUAAUAAUUAACCCACUGGGCUUAAUGGGAUUUUAGGCAUUCACAUAUCCAGAUAUGCGGAACUAAAUUAGAAGCAGGAAGACUUCCAUGUUUCUGGAAAGAAUGAUGCAAGAAGGCAGAGUAGUGGUUCCCACUGUCUGCUUUGCUGUUACUGUGUAAAGACUUACAUUCUUCCAAGAAUUCUGACUUCACAGACAGCUCCCCUUCUGAUUGUCUCCCAACCUUGAACUUUAGGUGCAACUGUGUCUCAGCUCCAUGGAGACUGGAGAGGAAGGAGGCAAGACAACUGGAGAGAAGCUUCCUGGUUUUCCCCUGGCAUUUUAGAAAACCCUCGGAACAAUCAUUCCAAGCAUCCUGGGAGAUCAAUUUUGGGAGGAUCUUGAACCCUGCUUCCAGGAUUCCAUGUCCUUUGGGAUAAAUUUCAGAACCUACUCUCCCAAAAUGUCAGCCUGCAGGGCCCAUUCUUCAUUCUCCAUCUCAUCAGCAUCCCCCUCCCCUACUAGGGUUCCAAGCUGACAGGUGCAGAUGUAGGUCUCUCUGCUUAAAACAGGCUGGAGAACGGGAGUCGAUGCCUCCCGGCAGGGAGGAAUAAUGAGCACAUUCAUUAAUGACUGCACCAUGUUCCUGUGGAUUGUCAGCACCAAUCAUUUGUUGCUUUGAACAAAAUGUAACUGUUGUCAAUGGAAAGCCAUUUGCAAAUAAAGCCAGUGAGUAAUGAUA